UCCGUAGGUGAACCUGCGGAGGGAUCAUUACUGAGUUUACGCUCUACAACCCUUUGUGAACAUACCUAUAACUGUUGCUUCGGCGGGUAGGGUCUCCGCGACCCUCCCGGCCUCCCGCCUCCGGGCGGGUCGGCGCCCGCCGGAGGAUAACCAAACUCUGAUUUAACGACGUUUCUUCUGAGUGGUACAAGCAAAUAAUCAAAACUUUUAACAACGGAUCUCUUGGUUCUGGCAUCGAUGAAGAACGCAGCGAAAUGCGAUAAGUAAUGUGAAUUGCAGAAUUCAGUGAAUCAUCGAAUCUUUGAACGCACAUUGCGCCCGCCAGCAUUCUGGCGGGCAUGCCUGUUCGAGCGUCAUUUCAACCCUCAAGCUCUGCUUGGUGUUGGGGCCCUACAGCCGAUGUAGGCCCUCAAAGGUAGUGGCGGACCCUCCCGGAGCCUCCUUUGCGUAGUAACUUUACGUCUCGCACUGGGAUCCGGAGGGACUCUUGCCGUAAAACCCCCCAAUUUUCCAAAGGUUGACCUCGGAUCAGGUAGGAAUACCCGCUGAACUUAAGCAUAUCA
rnacentral:rRNA from 1 species